AACGAACGCUGGCGGCAUGCCUAACACAUGCCAGUCGAACGAGACCUUCGGGUCUAGUGGCGCACGGGUGCGUAACGCGUGGGAACCUGCCUUUAGGCUCGGAAUAACUCAGAGAAAUUUGAGCUAAUACCGGAUGAUGUCUUCGGACCAAAGAUUUAUCGCCUUUAGAUGGGCCCGCGUUGGAUUAGCUAGUUGGUGGGGUAAAGGCCUACCAAGGCGACGAUCCAUAGCUGGUCUGAGAGGAUGAUCAGCCACACUGGGACUGAGACACGGCCCAGACUCCUACGGGAGGCAGCAGUGGGGAAUAUUGGACAAUGGGCGAAAGCCUGAUCCAGCAAUGCCGCGUGAGUGAUGAAGGCCUUAGGGUUGUAAAGCUCUUUUACCCGAGAUGAUAAUGACAGUAUCGGGAGAAUAAGCUCCGGCUAACUCCGUG
rnacentral:rRNA from 1 species